GUAGCUACUGUUUUUGUCAUUCUAAUUUCAUCUCUUAUGUGAUUUUUUUUUGUGCUGUUUUUGUUGAACAUUUGUUAAAAUCAUAGGACAGCUGGUAACCUGACAGAAAAUGGGAUUAUGCAUCUCAAGAAAGCUUAAUAAUAGCAUUUGUCCAAUAGAUUCAAUAAAACAGAUACAUAAGCGAUUAGCCAGUCAGUGGCAAUGGAAAGAAGAAUCAAUAAACGAUUUGUAACUCUGACUACUACCUAAUUGACAUAUUUUUCUCACUGAUUUGUGCAGAUUAACAGCUGAUUGGAGGUGCAGGCAGAUGGCGCUCAGUUCCUCCUCGUCAGAGGAAGAAGGAAGAGGAGAGAGACAGAGCCGUCCUUAACAACCUCCCAGCUGGUGACUCUCCAAGCACUCAGAGGAUUGGACUUCCGCCACAUGGCGCCUGGAAUGAGGAGCUCCUCGUCCCAUCAGAAAUCUACCACCAAAGUUCCAUUACGUUGAGGAGAAGGCAGACAUUGCCACGGCUGAUAUCUCCACACCUCGGCAACUCACUCCAAAACAGACCAGAGAGAUAAAAAACAGUUCAGCUCUACACAACCGCUGCUCUCGAAGGAACGAAGGAGGAGAAACUCUGGGACUGCGUGGCAGACGUCUCCUACUCGACAAGGUGAAGCAGAAGUUACCUGAAUGUAACUCCAGUUCAACACGGACGAUCUGUACGACACACCAAAUGGGAACGCAGUACACUUAGUUACUGUGGGGGAUAUAAUGAAGACGUGGAACAGCCUCAUCCUGUGAACAGGUGACAUCCAGUAUUGAGCUAUAAAUCAAAGCUCACCUUCAUGCAGAUGAACAAUAUAUGUGUUCAAAUACGCAGUGCCAGCCUUGUAAGUGCUUUAGAAGGAAUGAAAUUAAUUAACGCCUCUUUUGAAGGCCUCAGUAUAUUUUGUUUUAGCGAGAAACACGGUUUGAAUCCUUGAU